rnacentral:rRNA from 1 species
AUCAACUUUCGUUGGUAGGAUAGAGGCCUACCAUGGUGGUAACGGGUAACGGGGAAUUAGGGUUCGAUUCCGGCGAGGGAGCCUGAGAAACGGCUACCACAUCCAAGGAAGGCAGCAGGCGCGCAAAUUACCCAAUCCCGACACGGGGAGGUAGUGACAAUAAAUAACAAUACGGGGCUCUUUCGGGUCUCGUAAUUGGAAUGAGUACAAUUUAAAUCCCUUAGCGAGGAACAAUUGGAGGGCAAGUCUGGUGCCAGCAGCCGCGGUAAUUCCAGCUCCAAUAGCGUAUAUUAAAGUUGUUGCAGUUAAAAAGCUCGUAGUUGAAUUUCGGGAUUGACACAUCGGUCGUGCCUUAAGGGGUAUGAACUGGUGUAGUCAAUUUCUCACCUUCUGGAGAACCGCGAUGCCCUUAAUUGGGUGUCGCGGGGAACCAGGACCUUUACUUUGAAAAAAUUAGAGUGUUUAAAGCAGGCAUUUUGCUUGAAUACAUUAGCAUGGAAUAAUAAAAUAGGACGGCAUGAUUCUAUUUUGUUGGUUUCUAGGAUCACCGUAAUGAUUAAUAGGGAUAGUUGGGGGCAUUAGUAUUCAAUUGUCAGAGGUGAAAUUCUUGGAUUUAUUGAAGACUAACUACUGCGAAAGCAUUUGCCAAGGAUGUUUUCAUUAAUCAAGAACGAAAGUUAGGGGAUCGAAGACGAUCAGAUACCGUCGUAGUCUUAACCAUAAACUAUGCCGACUAGGAAUCAGACGAUGUUAAUUUUUUAAUGACUCGUUUGGCACCUUACGGGAAACCAAAGUGUUUGGGUUC